AGUGAACGCUGGCGGUAGGCCUAACACAUGCCAGUCGAACGGCAGCACAGUAAGAGCUUGCUCUUACGGGUGGCGAGUGGCGGACGGGUGAGGAAUACAUCGGAAUCUACUUUUUCGUGGGGGAUAACGUAGGGAAACUUACGCUAAUACCGCAUACGACCUACGGGUGAAAGCAGGGGAAAUUCGGACCUUGCGCGAUUGAAUGAGCCGAUGUCGGAUUAGCUAGUUGGCGGGGUAAAGGCCCACCAAGGCGACGAUCCGUAGCUGGUCUGAGAGGAUGAUCAGCCACACUGAAACUGAGACACGUUGCAGACUCCUACGGGAGGCACCAGUGGGGAAUAUUCGACAAUGGGCGCAAGCCUGAUCCAGCCAUACCGCGUGGGUAAAGAAGGCCUACGGGUUGUAAAGCCGUUUUGUUAGGAAAGAGAAGCUGCAGGUUAAUACCCUGCUGUACUGACGGUACCCAAUGUAUAAGCACCGGCUAACUUCGUG
rnacentral:rRNA from 1 species